rnacentral:rRNA from 1 species
GGAUAACAGGCUGAUCUUCCCCAAGAGUCCAUAUCGACGGGAUGGUUUGGCACCUCGAUGUCGGCUCGUCGCAUCCUGGGGCUGGAGUCGGUCCCAAGGGUUGGGCUGUUCGCCCAUUAAAGCGGUACGCGAGCUGGGUUUAGAACGUCGUGAGACAGUUCGGUCCCUAUCCGCUGUGCGCGUAGGAGUCUUGAGAAGGGCUGUCCCUAGUACGAGAGGACCGGGACGGACGAACCUCUGGUGUGCCAGUUGUUCUGCCAAGGGCAUGGCUGGUUGGCUACGUUCGGGAGGGAUAACCGCUGAAAGCAUCUAAGCGGGAAGCCUGCUUCGAGAUGAGGACUCCCACCCACUUGAUGGGGUAAGGCUCCCAGUAGACGACUGGGUUGAUAGGCCGGAUCUGGAAGCACCGUGAGGUGUGGAGGUGACCGGUACUAAUAGGCCGAGGGCUUGUCCUCAGUUG